rnacentral:rRNA from 1 species
AACGAACGCUGGCGGCAUGCCUAACACAUGCAAGUCGAACGAGAUCCUUCGGGGUCUAGUGGCGCACGGGUGCGUAACGCGUGGGAAUCUGCCCUUUGCUUCGGAAUAACAGUUAGAAAUGACUGCUAAUACCGGAUGAUGUCUUCGGACCAAAGAUUUAUCGGCAAGGGAUGAGCCCGCGUAGGAUUAGGUAGUUGGUGGGGUAAAGGCCUACCAAGCCGACGAUCCUUAGCUGGUCUGAGAGGAUGAUCAGCCACACUGGGACUGAGACACGGCCCAGACUCCUACGGGAGGCAGCAGUGGGGAAUAUUGGACAAUGGGCGCAAGCCUGAUCCAGCAAUGCCGCGUGAGUGAUGAAGGCCUUCGGGUCGUAAAGCUCUUUUACCAGGGAUGAUAAUGACAGUACCUGGAGAAUAAGCUCCGGCUAACUCCGUGCCAGCAGCCGCUGUAACAC